rnacentral:rRNA from 1 species
GAUGAACGCUGGCGGCGUGCCUAAUACACGCAAGUCGAGCGAACAGACGAGGAGCUUGCUCCUCUGACGUUAGCGGCGGACGGGUGAGUAACACGCGGAUAACCUACCUAUAAGACUGGGAUAACUUCGGGAAACCGGAGCUAAUACCGGAUAAUAUAUUGAACCGCAUGGUUCAAUAGUGAAAGACGGUUUUGCUGUCACUUAUAGAUGGAUCCGCGCCGCAUUAGCUAGUUGGUAAGGUAACGGCUUACCAAGGCAACGAUGCGUAGCCGACCUGAGAGGGUGAUCGGCCACACUGGAACUGAGACACGGUCCAGACUCCUACGGGAGGCAGCAGUAGGGAAUCUUCCGCAAUGGGCGAAAGCCUGACGGAGCAACGCCGCGUGAGUGAUGAAGGUCUUCGGAUCGUAAAACUCUGUUAUUAGGGAAGAACAAAUGUGUAAGUAACUAUGCACGUCUUGACGGUACCUAAUCAGAAAGCCACGGCUAACUACGUG